GGACCGUGGUUGCGUUCAGAUUUGCUCACCCCAGGAUACACGCAUGCGAACGCCCAGUUCAAAGCCCUGGUCCCCUUUUGCCAGGUAUAGGAUUUUUUUUUUUUUUAAGACUGAAAUUUAAACUCCGAGCCUGCUUUCCUCCACUCUCCAAAUCCAAUUCCGCUUCCUCCCGGUUUCACUGUCCUUGACCCCCAAGUUUGGAGCACCAGCCCGUAGGCAGUGUCCGGCACAAGGCGAAGAGAUAGGUGCUUUAAGAAAUAAGCAGCAAUUGGGAAGAAUAGAGGCGAGGUCAGGACUAGAAACUCGAGCAAAGGGAGGAAGCCCGAGCUCCGGGACCUCUCAGGUCGGUCGCUGUGCACUGAAAGUGUUGGUGCCUCUGUCUGAGCAGGCUAGGACUGUUUUGCCCUCGGGAUUACUUUUGGACUCUCUGGAGUCUCAAGUUUGUUCCACCUUAUUUUAAGGGCAGGGGACACCGAAGCCACUCUCAAAGUCCCGGGUUCCAAGAAUCGACCGCCACUGCUUUUUAAAAGAACCAUUGGGCAGAAAUGCUCCCCGCCCGCAGGCCGCGGCAACUCCUCACAUGGCCACGAGAUGGCGCUCCAGGCCAGGGGCCGGGCCGUGACUCCACAGCCCGCCCCUCCGGCUAGAUCCUCCGGUGGACUGAGAGCCGCGGUGGGAUCGAAGGGGAACAGAGCCACCGACAGGCGUUCAUCCAGGCCCAGAGACCCGCAGAGGCAGCCGAGGGACCGAGGGGCGCCGGACUGGGCCUGCGGACACAGGGGCCGGGGGACGCGAAGCUCUGGUUGAGGCCUUCUCCUUGAGACGGUCCUGCAGUGCCAGCUCCCGAACCUUCAAGGCACGUCUGCAGACGACGACCCUUCGCUUCCUCUGUGCGUGCUCGGGCUAGGGCUCUUUCCAUCCCUCGCAUGGCAGGGAGGCGACCUGAUUUCUGCCUUCCUAACUUCUCAGAAGCGGGACUGUGGGCUGGGAUCUGUGGGCGCUGGACAUCAGCUCUGGACUGCGGGAGGCGACCCACUCGGACUUGGAGGGUGAUUGUAAGGUUGAAGCCGCUCGGUGUAAGACUGGAGGGCCGGGAUCCUUGCUCCUCGGCAGCAAGGUCUGCCUCAGCUCCUACCUCUGUCUCCUCACCAGUCCCAGUGGGGUCUUCCAGGUUGAAUGUCGGGAUGUGCAGGGCACAGACAGACUCCAGAUAUGCAGGAUAGCCCCUCUGAAGGUGCACACCUAGGGUCCAGUCUGUGCCUGUCUCCCCUUCCCCCACCACCGGGUACCAGAGACCCAAGGGAAGGAUUGGGUCUGGAUUAUUCCCGCGGGAGGUGGUGGGGAAUGAGAAGUUCCUGAGGGUCAGUAUGAGAAUCUUCCUGAGUCCUGAGUCGGUUUGAAAGGAGGAAGGAUGGGUGUGGAGAUGUGAGGCUUGGUGGCCUGGAAAUACCAGAGUUAGAGUGGGUGGCCAGGUUUGGAAGCCUGAUCCCAUCCUACCUUUAUGUCCCCAGAUGAGCUCUGCCACCCUGGGAGAUUAACCCUACAUGCAUUUUCCAAAGGCACAUGACUAGAAAGCAACCCAGUUAACACCAGUCUAGAGACACUUCCACUUCCACAUAAACACCAGCUUGUGUUUGUCCUGUACUAGGCUCUCCGCAUUUCCCUCUUCAAGGUAUAACAGAGGAUAGGAGCGAAUCUUUGGUGAUUUAAUAAUUAUCUACAUGUCCAUCUGCUGAAACAGCUGCUUGGUAGGAAAGCCAGACAGGAGAUAAGUACAAGGUCAAACUUUGCCCGUGUGAGACCUUGGAUAAUGUAACAUUCUUCUCUGGGUUCCAAAAUCCACACCUGUAAAAUAAGUGGUCUGGACUAAAAUCAGAUUGAUCAGUGGAUGACCAGAUGACCUUGGUCCAGCUUGCAGUGAGCCCUAGCCUCAACUGCUUCAGACAAGAGGCAAGGACUAUGCUCCCAUUUACUUACUGCUUGAGGAAAUAGAGUAGGAGGAAUAGGCGGGCCAUUGCAGACCUUGGGGACCUUGGCUGUUGCUUGGGGGUAGGGGAAGGGCUGGUGGCCUGGAUGAAUUCCCAAUUAGGAAACAGCAUUCCAGGUCCUGAAACCCUCAAGGAACCAGCUGGCUCCAGCUGCCUCCAAUUCCUCUGGGAUGUCAUUGUCAUUCCCCUCUGCCUUCCACCUCAAAGCUAGUUUGGAAAGGCACCCACGGUGAGUUUUGAGUCUAGCACCACAGUUUGUUGAUUGUGUGUGACUUCUCCCAAAAGAGAAAGAGUUUCAGGCGCUCCUGUUUAAGGGUAUCUCCCAGAUCUGGAAUACUCUGGGCUAAGUCCUUAUUGAGUGAAAAGCUUUGCCAUGUUCAAAGCAUUGUCCCACGUGGGGUCUCAUUGAACCUUUACUGGCAAGGUGGAGAUUUUCAAUCCCCAUUUCACAGACAAUGAAUUGAGGUCAGAGAAAUGAAGUGAGGUGCCCAAGGCCAUCCAGCAAAGGACAGAGCUCUUACACAAUACCAUGGGCCUGACCCUUGGCAACAUGCGCUAAUGAAGUGAUGACGGCUGAGAGGCAGCUUGUUGAUGGGAAAAAGCUAAGGGCCUGGGCAAGUGCCCUCUGUGGCCGGAUGCUGAGCCCUGAUGUCCUGGCUAGAAGUUGCAUCUGUAGGAGAACCAGAGCCAAGUCCAGGAGACUUGGCAAAGAGCAGCCUUGAGGCUUCCUGUCAGCCUAGCUGGACCUUCCAGGAAUGCCUUGGUAGGAGCAGAGGCUUCUCAUGUGUGAAACAAUGGUGGGGACGUAGAGAGGGCUACCCAAAAUGCUGUGGACUAUAUUCCUGCCCAUUAUUUCUUUCUCAAAGAGAACAGGAUGUCCCCUGGCCCUGUAGUGUCUGUCCUCGGCCUGACAAGAGGAGCUAUGCACCCAACUACAUGAAGACGUUUGGUGGUGGAGGUUUUCCCUGGAGAAAUCAGAGCAGUUACCAGCUCCCCUGGUCUCUGAGGCUUUCCCCUUCCCCUAGUUUGCUGGGGCUAAUCUUUUCCCAUCCAACCCCAAUGUGCUGCUGUGUCUCCUCUUGGGAGAGAAUAUAUUUAUUUAAUGUCUGUCUCCUACAGGAACAUGGUUCCUUUAGUGGGGUGGGAGGUGAUGGUGUCUAUUUUGUGCAUUGCUGUGACCCAGAUUUAAAAAUGUUUAACACAUAGCAGGGAAAGAAUGAAUGAAUUGCACCCUCCAGAUGCAGGGCCUACACUUGGUCCUUCCAGGAUAUCCCUGCCUGGGCCCUGGAACAGAAGCCCCUGCUCCAAGUUCAUUCAGAGACCAUUGUGGAGAGCUCCUGAGGGUCUCGGCUGUGUGUAUCUUUGCCAAUACUGACCAGCCACUUCUAGUCCUCCAGCCAUGCUUCCAAGGAGGUGUGGCACCCUCUGGGCUAGGAAGCACCAACUUUGUCCCCUUCCAGGGCCGGUGGGUGGGUGGAGACAAUCUGGGAUCUUUGGGGAAACUUCUAGCAUAUCUGCCCCCUCCCCCGCCCCAUCUUCCCUGAGCAGCAGAGGACCUUCUUGAAAUGCACCUGGGGUGCAGGGGCUCUCCUGUUUAAAGCCCUCCAUAGGCUUCUCAUGCUUUGGGGAAAGGUGAAGGGUGGAGCCAGCCUGUGGAGCCAGCCUGUGGAGCCAGCCUGUGGAGCCAGCCCGUGCCUACUUGGCCCCCACCCCAGGCCUCCAACCCCAGUGUCCUGAUCUAGGUUAAUCUUGAUGUCCUUGCCUCACAGGCUUUCCUUUCCCUCACCUGAGAUGCCCUUCCUGCUUUCCUUUAAAACUGGGCUGGCCUAUUGGCUCCUCUAGGUCUUCUCCCUUCUGAGUUAGAUGUCCAUGCACAUGUUGUUCUGUUUUUGCAGUACAUAGGCCACUGGGGCAUUACUUUCUUGGGCUGCCAAAUCCCUGGACCCUAGGAAUCUGGCCUAGACUUGGAAAUGAGCACAGCAUCCUGAGUCAGGGCCUUGUGCAUGCUAGGCCAGCACUGAGCUACAUCUCCAGCUCUGUUUAUUUUUUUCUUUUGAGACAGGAUCUCGCUAAGUUGCCCAGGUUGACCUAGAACUUGCAAUUCUCCUGCCUCAGCCUCCCCAGCACCUGGAACUAUACGCAUGUGCCACUAUUCCCUAUAUCCAUAUUGUUUUAUGGUAGUCAAUGACUGUGAGACCUUGGCAAGUCACUUUAUCCCUCACCUAUCACUUCUUCAAAAUGGAGAUAACAGGGUUGGGCUUGUGGCUCAAUGGUAGAUCGCUUGCCUGGCAUGUGUGAGGCACUGGGUUUGAUUCUCAGCAACACAUAUAAAUAAAUAAAUGUCCAUGAACAGCUAAAAAAAUGUUUUUUAAAAAUGGAGAUAACAGCACCUAGCUCAGGGGGUUGGUUGAAGAUUAAAUGUCACGCUGUUUAUAACUAUCUGGCACAGAGACCAGCACAGUGAAUGUGGUUUUCUGCCUCUCCUGAGGAGGCCUUGCCCCUUUGGAGGAGCCUAAGGGAGUCUGAGGAUGCAGGCCUUGGGGGAAAAUCUAGGAUGAGGAAAAUUCCCCUGGCCCAGGGAAGUACCAGGGUUGAUCCUGUCACAUGGAGGUGACCAGCCUACACUGGAGGCCAGGCAGAGGCCACUGGGGCAUUACUUUCUUG
rnacentral:lncRNA from 1 species